CCGGCGCCGCUCCCCGCCCCGCCCCCACGCCGUGGUUUGGCCGUACCCUUUGAGACGUCUCCACCGGUACCCCAAGGGGAGGCCCUGCCGCGCGCAGAGCGAGGGGGUCGCAUCGAGACUUCUCCUUCCGAGCUGCUGAUCCGCGGGCGAAAGUGUUGGGUGCCCCAUCCUGCGGUGGGGGGCUAAGCGGGCCGGAGGGGCACAGCCGGGCGCGGAGAGGCGCGGGCCGCGCAAGGGGACGCCAGGUCGCGGGACUCACCACCACCACCGCCACCGCGGGACCUCCACACGAACACCAAAGUAGUAUUUGUCUAGUUACGACGAGUUAGACCUUUUUACUUAUGUAACUUUUACUUUUGUAGCGGUCGCGGGUCUGACAGCACCAGACCAGGCAGCACGCUGCGCGCGCCGUCGCCGUGCAUGCACAGCCCGAGGAGCGCCAGGACGUCGGCGAGGACACUAUGGAGAGCUGUGCGCCGAGGACAUCGGCCAGAGAAGACUCAUCACCACCACCGUUGGACUGCCCCGACCCGACCAGCGUCGCAAGGACCCUCCGCCGCCAGAACCUGAGCGGGCGCACGCGCAGGGCGCGGUAUUCGGCCGGACAGGCUCACUGCUGGGGUGCCCGGUCCAGGCCCUGGUAAAGAGUGGUUUAUUGGCAACAAGUAUUUCUUUUGGAUGUCGAACUCAGCGGUUUUCCUUACCUGCUUUCGUGAGCUGGCUGUGGGGCCCCCCUCUGCGACGUGACGUUCGUCUUUCCCUUCAGGCGUACAAGGGCCGGCCCUGUGCGAGACGAUCAGUUCGUACCCACCCUCGCUGCCUACGGCUUGCGUCUCGCGCCUUCAGCGCACGCGUGCGGGCCGGCCUGCGCGCAGGGGCGCGGCUGUCCGUGGAGUUGGUGGGGCAGGCGGGGCGUUACCCACGGGCACACAUCAUCGGUAGCAGCGUUGUUAAAAAGGACACCCGGGUGACACGUCCGCCUGAAAUAGAAGUUCGACAAUAACCCUCACCCUUGUCCUUGUGUACUACUUAGUUCGUGCUCUCGGCUCGCUUUGCUAAAAGUCUCUCCAGUUUCAGCUAGGCGCAUAGUGCAGCGGCUUUCGAGCAGACAGCCAGCCGCUUCAGCGUACGACAGACUUCUGCAGGGGACUCCGCUUGACGCAGUACACCCAGCCUGCGGACGGCGCUGCUGUGCCCAUUGCUAUGGACGUCGCGCUGACGUCGGCCGAAGCUGACUCCGUGAGACCGCAGCCCGAGCAGCGCCAGGACGUCGCCGAGGACACGGGCGAGCUGUGCGCCGUGGACGUCAGCCGAAGAAG